rnacentral:rRNA from 1 species
UUAUUUGAGAGUUUGAUCCUGGCUCAGGAUGAACGCUGGCGGCGUGCCUAACACAUGCAAGUUGAGCGAUUUACUUCGGUAAAGAGCGGCGGACGGGUGAGUAACGCGUGGGUAACCUACCCUGUACACACGGAUAACAUACCGAAAGGUAUGCUAAUACGGGAUAAUAUAUUUGAGAGGCAUCUCUUGAAUAUCAAAGGUGAGCCAGUACAGGAUGGACCCGCGUCUGAUUAGCUAGUUGGUAAGGUAACGGCUUACCAAGGCGACGAUCAGUAGCCGACCUGAGAGGGUGAUCGGCCACAUUGGAACUGAG